ACUGGGCAUGGUGGCGCAUACCUGUAAUCCUAGUGCUCCGGAGGCUGAGGCAGGAGGUUUGCAAGUGCAAAGCCAGCUUAAGCAAUUUAGUGGGAGUCUGUCUCAA
rnacentral:sRNA from 1 species